rnacentral:tRNA from 1 species
GGCGGGAUAGCUCAGUUGGUUAGAGCGUCGGAUUCAUAACCCGGAGGUCAUGAGUUCAAUUCUCAUUCCCGCUACAA